rnacentral:rRNA from 1 species
AUUGAACGCUGGCGGCAGGCCUAACACAUGCAAGUCGAGCGGCAGCGGAAAGUAGCUUGCUACUUUGCCGGCGAGCGGCGGACGGGUGAGUAAUGUCUGGGAAACUGCCUGAUGGAGGGGGAUAACUACUGGAAACGGUAGCUAAUACCGCAUAAUGUCGCAAGACCAAAGAGGGGGACCUUCGGGCCUCUUGCCAUCAGAUGUGCCCAGAUGGGAUUAGCUGGUAGGUGGGGUAACGGCUCACCUAGGCGACGAUCCCUAGCUGGUCUGAGAGGAUGACCAGCCACACUGGAACUGAGACACGGUCCAGACUCCUACGGGAGGCAGCAGUGGGGAAUAUUGCACAAUGGGCGCAAGCCUGAUGCAGCCAUGCCGCGUGUAUGAAGAAGGCCUUCGGGUUGUAAAGUACUUUCAGCGGGGAGGAAGGUGUUGUGGUUAAUAACCGCAGCAAUUGACGUUACCCGCAGAAGAAGCACCGGCUAACUCCGUGCCAGCAGCCGCAGUAAAAC